UUCUGAUAAGGGAUAAAAAUUCUUGCCUCAAAUGGCUCCCAUCACACUAAGAUCUUGCAACAAUAACACUACUGAUUUAGACAUUAAUCUUAAGUAUCCAGGGAGCCCUAAAACAUUGUAUUCCACUAGCAAGGACCAUGGUAAUUGCCACGUAAAUCCCCUCCAUAAUGUGGCCCUUAUUAUGAUCAGCCAGCCAAGGCUUGCUUUUAAAUCAUACCAAUUGAACUGAGCCUUGUAGAAACCCUAUCACCUACACAUACCUCUGCUUCUUUUCAUUAACCUGUUAUCCUCUUUACAAAUGGGAUUCUUCACCCACUCCCUUCUUCUAGAUUAGCAAUGCCCUGUUAAGUAAACGAACAUGAAAUUCAAAGAGAAACAGAAGCAAUAAUCAUUACCAGCUGCCGUGUUAAGCAUUGCAAAAACGCUCACGAUUCACAGAGAAAAAUCCAUGCUGUUCUUUGAAGGCAUUCAAGCCUUAAUAGCUAGCUGGAUGAAUGUUUAACUUCUAGGCCAGGUACUACUCUGUUCCAACAAUAAGUCCUGUACAUUGGGAAAGGUGCUGAGACAUGAACUUUGGUCUUCUCUGCAAUCCAUCUGGAACAUUCAGUGACAACAUCAACUUUGAAGUUGCACUGACCUGGCCGGCCCUGCCACUCACCAGGUUGGCUCUUUUAGGUCCUUUGCAUUUGGAUAUAAACUUCAGAAUCAGGUUGUCUAUUCCAACAACAACAACAAAAUGAAACUUUCAGAAAGUUUAAUUGAAAUUGUAUUGAAUCCACAGACAAUUUUGGAGUAAAUCGCAUCUUGGCAAUACUGAGUCCAACCAUUACCAGUGACCUACUUGACUCCAUGAUCCAGCCUGUGAAGGAGUAACUGUUGACAGACUAUCUCAGAAUCACUUUUCCUACAACCCUCUUCUGUCCAAGCAAUUUCCACGAAUACCCUCCUUUUUGUUGUUGUUGUUCACUCAUUAGACAGCUGUUUAUUAAUGGCUGCUAUGUGCUAGGCACUUUAGUAGGCACUGGGAAAUAAAUUGACAAAAUAGAUGCAA